GAUGAACGCUGGCGGCGUGCCUAAUACAUGCAAGUCGAGCGAACAGACGAGGAGCUUGCUCCUCUGACGUUAGCGGCGGACGGGUGAGUAACACGUGGAUAACCUACCUAUAAGACUGGGAUAAUUUCGGGAAACCGGAGCUAAUACCGGAUAAUAUAUUGAACCGCAUGGUUCAAUAGUGAAAGACGGUUUUGCUGUCUCUUAUAGAUGGAUUCGCGCCGCAUUAGCUAGUUGGUAAGGUAACGGCUUACCAAGGCAACGAUGCGUAGCCGACCUGAGAGGGUGAUCGGCCACACUGGAACUGAGACACGGUCCAGACUCCUACGGGAGGCAGCAGUAGGGAAUCUUACGCAAUGGGCGAAAGCCUGACGGAGCAACGCCGCGUGAGUGAUGAAGGUCUUCGGAUCGUAAAACUCUGUUAUUAGGGAAGAACAAAUGUGUAAGUAACUAUGUACGUCUUGACGGUACCUAAUCAGAAAGCCACGGCUAACUACGUG
rnacentral:rRNA from 1 species